rnacentral:rRNA from 1 species
GACGAACGCUGGCGGCGUGCUUAACACAUGCAAGUCGAACGCUGAAGCUUGGUGCUUGCACUGGGUGGAUGAGAGGCGAACGGGUGAGUAAUACGUGAGUAACCUGCCCUUGACUCUGGGAUAAGCCUGGGAAACUGGGUCUAAUACUGGAUAUGACAUGCCACUGCAUGGUGGUGUGUGGAAAGGGUUUUACUGGUUUUGGAUGGGCUCACGGCCUAUCAGCUUGUUGGUGGGGUAAUGGCCUACCAAGGCGACGACGGGUAGCCGGCCUGAGAGGGUGACCGGCCACACUGGGACUGAGACACGGCCCAGACUCCUACGGGAGGCAGCAGUGGGGAAUAUUGCACAAUGGGCGGAAGCCUGAUGCAGCGACGCCGCGUGAGGGAUGACGGCCUUCGGGUUGUAAACCUCUUUCAGCACGGAAGAAGCGAGAGUGACGGUACGUGCAGAAGAAGCGCCGGCUAACUACGUG